rnacentral:tRNA from 1 species
GGUUAGAGCAGCGGACUCAUAAUCCGUUGGUACUGUGUUCGACUCACAGAGGGGCCACCA